UCAUAAGAUUCAUCUAUAAAUAAAGAGGGUCUCUACAUAUGGAUGUAUAAAAAAUAAAUCAGAUUAAGAGAAGAGAGAAAGAGAGAGAGGUGUGAGAAGGGAGAAGCCCUUCUUCUCCUUAGCCUCUCUCAUUUGGUGCCGCCCCUCCUCCCUUGGGUGUAGGCCCUCCUUGGGCAUCCCACCUGCUGGUGUGAGGUGUCACACCAGCACAUCUUCUCCUUCAUUUGCUUGGGUUGCU
rnacentral:lncRNA from 1 species